rnacentral:tRNA from 1 species
AGUGAGGUGGCAGAAAAGUGCCUCAGAUUUAAGCUCUGAUCAAGGAGACCACUCCCCUUACUA